UUAAAUUGAAGAGUUUGAUCAUGGCUCAGAUUGAACGCUGGCGGCAGGCCUAACACAUGCAAGUCGAACGGUAACAGGAAUCAGCUUGCUGAUUCGCUGACGAGUGGCGGACGGGUGAGUAAUGUCUGGGAAACUGCCUGAUGGAGGGGGAUAACUACUGGAAACGGUAGCUAAUACCGCAUAACGUCGCAAGACCAAAGAGGGGGACCUUCGGGCCUCUUGCCAUCGGAUGUGCCNGAUGGGAUU
rnacentral:rRNA from 1 species